GGUAUAUAUGGGGCCGGAUGUCUCAUCACUGAAGGAUCUCGAGGUGAAGGUGGUAUCCUGAGAAACAGUGAAGGUGAACGUUUUAUGGAACGAUAUGCUCCUACAGCCAAGGAUCUUGCAUCAAGAGAUGUUGUCUCCAGAUCCAU